rnacentral:rRNA from 1 species
AUUGAACGCUGGCGGCAGGCCUAACACAUGCAAGUCGAGCGGCAGCGACUUAACUGAACCUUCGGGGAACGUUAAGGGCGGCGAGCGGCGGACGGGUGAGUAAUGCCUGGGAAUAUGCCCUGAUGUGGGGAUAACUAUUGGAAACGAUAGCUAAUACCGCAUAAUCUCUUCGGAGCAAAGAGGGGGACCUUCGGGCCUCUCGCGUCAGGAUUAGCCCAGGUGGGAUUAGCUUGUUGGUGAGGUAAUGGCUCACCAAGGCAACGAUCCCUAGCUGGUCUGAGAGGAUGAUCAGCCACACUGGAACUGAGACACGGUCCAGACUCCUACGGGAGGCAGCAGUGGGGAAUAUUGCACAAUGGGGGAAACCCUGAUGCAGCCAUGCCGCGUGUGUGAAGAAGGCCUUCGGGUUGUAAAGCACUUUCAGUAGGGAGGAAGGUAGUGUAGUUAACACCUGCAUUAUUUGACGUUACCUACAGAAGAAGCACCGGCUAACUCCGUGCCAGCAGCCGCGGUAAUACGGAGGGUGCGAGCGUUAAUCGGAAUUACUGGGCGUAAAGCGCAUGCAGGCGGCCUGUUAAGUCAGAUGUGAAAGCCUGGGGCUUAACCUCGGAAUUGCAUUUGAAACUGGCAGGCUAGAGUCUUGUAGAGGGGGGUAGAAUUUCAGGUGUAGCGGUGAAAUGCGUAGAGAUCUGAAGGAAUACCAGUGGCGAAGCGGCCCCCUGGACAAAGACUGACGCUCAGAUGCGAAAGCGUGGGGAGCAAACAGG